AUUGCACGCUGGCGGUAUGCUUAAUACAUGCAAGUCGAACGAGAUAAGUCACUUCGGUGGCGAGUAUAGUGGCGCACGGGUGAGUAACACGUAGGAGACCUACCUUGUUGCGCUCGGAUAACUCAGAGAAAUUUGAGCUAAUACCCCAUAAGCUGGGCAAAUUUGAAAGUAGCUCAGGAAAGAUUGCCUCUUCUUGAAAGCAAUCGCGAUAAGAUGGGCCUGCGGCGACAUUAGCUUGUUGGUGGGGUAAUGGCCUACCAAGGCUGCGAUGUCUAGCCGGAUUGAGAGAUUGAUCGGCCACACUGGAAUCUGAGACACGGUCCAGACUCCUACGGGAGGCAGCAGUAGGGAAUAUUGCGCAAUGGGGGCAACCCUGACGCAGCAAUACCGCGUGAGUGAGGAAGGUCCUCGGAUUGUAAAACUCUGUCAGAGUGGAAAAACGGCAUUUGGUCCAAUAGGCCAGGUGUUUGAUGGUACACUCAAAGGAAGCACCGGCUAACUAUCGUGCCAGCAGCCGCGGUAAUACGAAGGGUGCAAGCGUUGUGUCGGAUUUAUUGGGCGUAAAGCGCGCGCAGGCGGAAAUGUAAGUCAGAUGUGAAAUCUCGGGGCUCAACUCCGAAACUGCGUCUGAAACUGCUUAUCUAGAAUCUUGGAGAGGGAAAGGGGAAUUUCGCAUGUAGGGGUAAAAUCCGUAGAGAUGCGAAAGGAACACCAGAGGCGAAGGCGCCUUCCUGGGACAAGUAUUGACGCUGAGGCGCGAAGGCGUGGGGAGCGAACAGGAUUAGAUACCCUGGUCCACCACGCAGUAAACGAUGAGCACUAGAUUUGGGGGGAUUGACCCCUUCCGAAUCGUAGCUAACGCAUUAAGUGCUCCGCCUGGGGAGUACGGCCGCAAGGCUAAAACUCAAAGGAAUUGACGGGGGCCCGCACAAGCGGUGGAUUAUGUGGUUUAAUUCGAAGCAACGCGCAGAACCUUACCUGGGCUUGAAAUCCCACGAACCUGAUAGAGAUAUCGGGGUGCCUCUCGAGGAAUGUGGAGACAGCGCGCUGCAUGGCUGUCGUCAGCUCGUGUUGUGUAAAUGUUGGGUUAAGUCUCGCAACGAGCGCAACCCCUAUCUUUAGUUGCCAGCAUUAAGUUGGGCACUCUAGAGAGACUGCCUGGGCUAACCAGGAGGAAGGUGGGGAUGACGUCAAGUCCUCAUGGCCCUUAUGUCCAGGGCUACACACGUAAUACAAUGGUCGGUACAAAGGGAAGCGAACUCGCGAGGGGGAGCAAAUCUCAAAUAAACCGAUCUCAGUCCGGAUUGGAGUCUGCAACUCGACUCCAUGAAGUUGGAAUCGCUAGUAAUCGCGGAUCAGCACGCCGCGGUGAAUACGUUCCCGGGCCUUGUACUCACCGCCCACAUUGCAU
rnacentral:rRNA from 1 species